rnacentral:piRNA from 1 species
GGACGGGUGUCACCGUGUUGUGUGAAACG